AGGAGAGUUUGAUCCUGGCUCAGGACGAACGCUGGCGGCGCGCUUAACACAUGCAAGUCGAACGGAGCUUGAACGAGCGUCUUCGGACAAUCGAUCAAACUUAGUGGCGGACGGGUGAGUAACGCGUGAGCAACCGGUCCUGAAGAGGGGGACAACAUUGAGAAAUCAAUGCUAAUACCGCGUAAGACCACGCUGUGGCAUCACAGAGGGGUCAAAGGAGAGAUCCGCUUCAGGGAGGGCUCGCGUCCCAUUAGGUAGUUGGUGACGGUAACGGCGCACCAAGCCGACGAUGGGUAGCCGUGCUGAGAGGCAGAACGGCCACACUGGAACUGAGACACGGUCCAGACUCCUACGGGAGGCAGCAGUGGGGAAUCUUGGGCAAUGGGGGGAACCCUGACCCAGCGACGCCGCGUGGAGGAAGAAGGUCUUCGGAUUGUAAACUUCUGUGACAGGGGACGAAGGAAGUGACGGUACCCUGUAAGGAAGCCCCGGCUAACUACGUGCCAGCAGCCGCGGUAAUACGUAGGGGGCGAGCGUUGUCCGGAAUUACUGGGCGUAAAGGGCGCGUAGGCGGUGUGCUAAGUUUGUUGUGAAAUCCCACGGCUCAACUGUGGAAGUGCAAUGAAAACUGGCAUACUGGAGUACGGCAGAGGCAAGCGGAAUUCCCAGUGUAGCGGUGAAAUGCACAGAGAUUGGGAGGAACACCAGUGGCGAAGGCGGCUUGCUGGGCCGAAACUGACGCUGAGGCGCGAAAGCGUGGGGAGCAAACAGGAUUAGAUACCCUGGUAGUCCCCU
rnacentral:rRNA from 1 species